AUAAAGAAAUCCCAAUUAGAGUAACUUGAAUUGAAUUGAACAGUCGAAUUUUGAAGAUCAGCAAAACCUUAAAGCGUCGACUACUGGCACCCUACUUUCCCUGCCCUUUUGUUUGGAAUGUUAAAGGGGCCAAAAAUACGCUCUGAAUGCUGCACGUAGAGAAUUUUUGCAAAACAUAGUGUCCGAAUACUUAUAUUCCUAUGUAGGCAACAAAAUUUGGUGCAGAGAUGCAAAAAUACGGCAGAUGUUUGGUAAUCGAUGUAAUCAAUUGGAGGAUAAUUUAAUGCAUGAAUGGAAUUUUUUGAAGAAUAUUCACUUAAUAGACUGCGAAAAAUGAUGGUUGAUGCUGAAUACGAGGAUUAAUAAUACAGGAAACGAAGCUGUCCACAUGCCAUAGAUAGAUGAUAUUUCCUAUCCCCUUUUUGAGAAAUCAAUUAUUAUAUUAUUAUCAUACUUACGCAUUUUUAUUAUAAUUAUGAAGAUCUCCAUAUUUAAGAUGUGAGAUUGAAACUUUGCCCAAACUUCCAUAUUUCUGGAAUAAUUGAUAUUACAUUUAGUGACAAUUAAAACACUUUUUUUGUUUUUGUUUUUAAAUAGGAAGUUUGUCUAAAAGUAUUAAUGAAGCGAAUAAUUUACAAUAAAGAUAUAAAUAAUGUUUGAACAGAAA